UGGAAGUAAAAAGUCGUAACAAGGUUUCCGUAGGUGAACCUGCGGAAGGAUCAUUAAUAAUGCUCUCUGGCUUCGGUCAGUUGAGUUCAAUGAGUGCCUUCUCUUCGGAGUUGGCCAUCCAUACACACCGUGAACUGUGGCUUCGGCCAUCACAAACUGUUAGUAAUGAAUGUAAUAUCAUAACAAAAACAAAACUUUUAACAACGGAUCUCUUGGCUCUCGCAUCGAUGAAGAACGCAGCGAAAUGCGAUAAGUAAUGUGAAUUGCAGAAUUCAGUGAAUCAUCGAAUCUUUGAACGCACCUUGCGCCCUUUGGUAUUCCGAAGGGCAUGCCUGUUUGAGUGUCAUGAAACCUCACCCCACUUGGGUUUUUGCCUGAGCGGUGGUGUAUUGGGUGUUGCCUUGCCAAAGGCUCGCCUUAAAAACAUAAGCACCUUGGAUGUAAUACGUUUCAUCCUUCUGGGUGGCUGAUAACCCCACAUAUUCAUGAUCUGGCCUCAAAUCAGGUAGGGCUACCCGCUGAACUUAAGCAUAUCAAUAAGCGGAGGAAAAGAAACUAACUAGGAUUCCCUUAGUAACGGCGAGUGAACCGGGAUGAGCUCAAAUUUGAAAUCUGGCGUCUUUCAGGCGUCCGAGUUGUAAUCUAUAGAGGCGUUUUCCGCGCCGGACCGCGUCCAAGUCUCUUGGAAUAGAGUAUCAAAGAGGGUGACAAUCCCGUACUUGACGCGACAACCGGUGCUCUGUGAUACGUUCUCAAUGAGUCGAGUUGUUUGGGAAUGCAGCUCUAAAUGGGUGGUAAAUUCCAUCUAAGGCUAAAUAUUGGCGAGAGACCGAUAGCGAACAAGUACCGUGAGGGAAAGAUGAAAAGCACUUUGGAAAGAGAGUUAAACAGCACGUGAAAUUGUUAAAAGGGAAACGAUUGAAGUCAGUCGUGUGGGAAGUAUUCAGCCGUCUCUGGCGGUGUAUUUGCUUCUCACGGGUCAACAUCAGUUUGAUCCGGUAGAAAAAGGCGGGAAGAAGGUGGCACCCUCGGGUGUGUUAUAGCUUCCUGUCAUAUGUGCCGGACCAGACUGAGGAACGCAGCUUGCAGCAAUGCCGGGGUUCGCCCACGUACAAGCUUAGGAUGUUGACAU
rnacentral:misc_RNA from 1 species